rnacentral:rRNA from 1 species
GACGAAGGGGGCUAGCGUUGUUCGGAAUUACUGGGCGUAAAGCGAGUGUAGGUGGUUGUCAUAGUCAGGUGUGAAAGCCUUGAGCUCAACUCAAGAAAUGCACUUGAUACUGGGCAGCUAGAGGACCGGAGAGGAUAGUGGAAUUCCCAGUGUAGUGGUGAAAUACGUAGAGAUUGGGAAGAACACCAGUGGCGAAGGCGGCUAUCUGGACGGUUACUGACACUGAGGCACGAAGGCCAGGGGAGCAAACGGG